rnacentral:tRNA from 1 species
UCCUCGAUAGUAUAGUGGUGAGUAUCUCCGCCUGUCACGCGGAAGUCCGGGGUUCAAUUCCCCGUCGGGGAG